rnacentral:rRNA from 1 species
UACGGAGGGGGCUAGCGUUGUUCGGAAUUACUGGGCGUAAAGCGCACGUAGGCGGCUUUGUAAGUUAGAGGUGAAAGCCCGGAGCUCAACUCCGGAAUUGCCUUUAAGACUGCAUCGCUUGAAUCAUGGAGAGGUGAGUGGAAUUCCGAGUGUAGAGGUGAAAUUCGUAGAUAUUCGGAAGAACACCAGUGGCGAAGGCGACUCACUGGACACGUAUUGACGCUGAGGUGCGAAAGCGUGGGGAGCAAACAGG